GACUCCUACGGGAGGCAGGCAGUGGGGAAUAUUGGCCACAAUGGGGGAAACCCUGAUGCAGCGACGCCGCGUGGAGGAAGAAGGUCUUCGGAUUGUAAACUCCUGUUGUUGGGGAAGAUAAUGACGGUACCCAACAAGGAAGUGACGGCUAACUACGUGC
rnacentral:rRNA from 1 species